rnacentral:rRNA from 1 species
ACACAUGCAGUCCGACGUGAAAGGGGAGCAAUCCCCCGGUAGGGUGGCAAACGGGUGAGUAAGACAUGGGUGAUCUGCCCUGGAGAUGGGGAUAUCCCUCCGAAAGGGGGGGCAAUACCGAAUAGUAUCCGGUUCCGUGAAGGGGGCCGGGGAAAGGGAGGCCUCCGGUACAAGCUUCCGCUCCUGGAUGAGCCCAUGGCCCAUCAGCUAGUUGGUAGGGUAAAGGCCUACCAAGGCGACGACGGGUAGCUGGUCUGAGAGGACAACCAGCCACACUGGCACUGAGACACGGGCCAGACUCCUACGGGAGGCAGCAGUGAGGAAUAUUGCGCAAUGGGGGCAACCCUGACGCAGCAACGCCGCGUGUGGGAAGAAGGCUUUCGGGUUGUAAACCACUUUUGCCCGGGACGAAAGGGGGGGCCUGAAUAAGGUCACCCGAUGACGGUACCGGGAGAAUAAGCCACGGCUAACUCUGUGCCAGCAGCCGCGGUAAGACAGAGGUGGCAAGCGUUGUUCGGAGUUACUGGGCGUAAAGAGUCUGUAGGUGGUCUGUCAAGUCUUUGGUGAAAGGCCGUGGCUUAACCAUGGGAAUGCCAAAGAGACUGGCAGACUGGAGGCUGGGAGAGGGAAGCGGAAUUUCUGGUGUAGCGGUGAAAUGCGCAGAUAUCAGGAGGAACACCAACGGCGAAGGCAGCGAUCUGGGCCGGUACUGACGCUGAGGAGCGAGAGCGUGGGGAGCGAACAGGAUUAGAUACCCUGGUAGUCCACGCCCUAAACGUUGGGCACUAGGUGUGGGGCCUAUUUCGACGGGUUCCGUGCCGUAGCUAACGCAUUAAGUGCCCCGCCUGGGGAGUACGGUCGCAAGG